rnacentral:misc_RNA from 1 species
CUACCCUCGAGCACUGCUCGGUGUUGGCGGAUUGCCUAGCAACCGCUGAAAAUCAACGGCGGUGACCCCUAUGUCCCUGUAUAGUACUAUUCUUACAGUGGUUAUAGCGGUCUACCAGUCUCCUGUGCGCCGUAACAAGCGCUACACUUUGAA